rnacentral:rRNA from 1 species
GACGAACGCUGGCGGCGUGCUUAACACAUGCAAGUCGAACGGAAAGGCCCUGCUUUUGUUGGGUGCUCGAGUGGCGAACGGGUGAGUAACACGUGAGUAACAUGCCCUUGUCUUUGGGAUAACUUCAGGAAACUGGGGCUAAUACCGGAUAGGGGCUCCUGCUGCAUGGUGGGGGUUGGAAAGUUUCGGCGGUUGUGGAUGGUCUAGCGGCUUCUCCGCUUGUUGGUGGGGUAGUGGCUUACCAAGGUUUUGACGGGUAGCCGGCCUGGGAGGGUGGCCGGCCACAUGGGGACUGAGAGACGGCCCAGACGCGUACGGGAGGCAGCAGGGGGGAAUAUUGCACAAUGGGCGGAAGCCUGAGACAGCAACGCCGCGUUCGGGAUGACGGCCUUCGGGGUGUAAACAGCUUUCGCCUGUGACGAAGCGUGAGUGACGGUAAUGGGUAAAGAAGCACCGGCUAACUACGUG